rnacentral:rRNA from 1 species
GACGAACGCUGGCGGCGUGCCUAAUACAUGCAAGUCGAACGCAGUGGGGACGGGUGAGUAACACGUGGGUAACCUCCCAUCAGAGGGGAUAACACUUGGAAACAGGUGCUAAACCGAUACUGAUGGAUGGACCUGCGGUGCAUUAGCUAGUUGGUGAGGUAACGGCUCACUAAGGCCACGAUGCAUAGCCGACCUGAGAGGGUGGUCGGCCACACUGGUGCUGAGACACGGCCCAGAAUCCUACGAGAGGCAGCAGUAGGGAAUCUUCGGGAAUGGACGAAAGUCUGACCGAGCAACGCCGCGUGAGUGAAGAGGGUUUUCGGAUCGUAAAACUCUGUUGUUAGAGAAGCGGUAUCUAACCAGAAAGCCACGGCUAACUACGUGCCAGCAGCCGCGGUAAUUC